GUGCCAGCCGCCGCGGUAAUACGGAGGGUGCGAGCGUUGUCCGGAAUCACUGGGCGUAAAGGGCGCGUAGGCGGCGCGGGUAGUCAACGGUGAAAGCUUGGGGCUCAACCCCGAGUCGGCCGUCGAUACUCCCGUGCUUGAGCACUGUAGAGGCAGGUGGAAUUCCGGGUGUAGCGGUGGAAUGCGUAGAGAUCCGGAAGAACACCGGUGGCGAAGGCGGCCUGCUGGGCAGUAGCUGACGCUGAGGCGCGACAGCGUGGGGAGCAAACAGGAUUAGAUACCCUGGUAGUCC
rnacentral:rRNA from 1 species